AGGUCCCUGCGGUGGAAGGGCGGAGCCUUAACCACUGGACGGCCAAGGAAGUCCCAAAUGAUCAGUUUUAGGUGCAAGAUUAUAGGAAAUUCUAACGGAUAGUCCUCAGGUCCUUCCUUUGAAUAAUUCACGGGAAUGGUUUUGCUCUCUCUCAUUCAACAUAUGAUCGCUUGCAGUGUUUACUUUAAAAAUUAAAAUUAGAAUUGCUUUAAGGGACGACGCCGUGGGAGGGACUGGGAAUUUAGGACCUACCUAAAACAACAAACAAAUCUGAAGUUAUUUAUCAGAGUGUAGAACGUGUUGUUUAUAUAAGGAAAUUACAUUUUUAAAACGUUGUUUAGCUUUAUAGAUGGGGGCAUUCUGCCAAAUAAUCAGCCAAAAAAAAAGUUGGUAAAGUGACUCUGGGGGAAAAAAGCCUUAUACAAAUUCCAGGACAUUCUGAUGCAAAUUAGAAAAUGUUGUCUGGUGGGUUAUCUGUUGGGUGGUUUGCUGUGUAUGUCAAUUUUCGGAAGACACAACCUUGACUUAGGAAAAAAAAUCUGGAAAAUGUAUCAAAGAGACAGCAGAAAGGGCCAAAACCUACCAAAGCUGAAAUUACCGUGGGGCUCGAGGUUGGGGGAGAGGAGUGGAUUUGUGCCAUUUCUUGGAAUUAUUCCUCAGCGUCUCAUUUCGUUUUUACAUUUCUUUUUUCCCUUCCCCAUCACAAGACUUUUCACAGGUUUCAGAAGUAGGGGAAGUCCAAGAAAGAGAGUCAGACACAUGGAAAUCAGGUGUACAGAGGACCGAUGGCAUAAACGGAGAACAGAGGUGUGGAUAUGAGUGCCUGGGAUAGAGUUCACGGUCAUCCACAGAAGAAUGAAUAAAGAAGAUGUGGUAAAUCGUCAAACGGAUCCUAAUACAAAGGGCUCCAGAUAACCAACACAAUCUAGAGAAGAGAAGGAAGUGGGAGGAGCCUCAUAUGUCACAAUUGCACAACUUGCUAUAAAGCUACAGUGAUCAA